rnacentral:tRNA from 1 species
CCGCGCUUAGCUCAGUUGGCUAGAGCAUUCGACUGAUACUCGAAAGGUCCUUGGUUCAACUCCAAGAGCGCGGA